CCGCCAGACUCCUACGGGAGGCAGCAGUGAGGAAUAUUGGUCAAUGGGCUUACGCCUGAACCAGCCAAGUCGCGUGAGGGAAGACUGCCCUAUGGGUUGUAAACCUCUUUUGUCAGGGAGCAACGCCGGCUACGUGUAGCCGGACUGAGAGUACCUGAAGAAAAAGCAUCGGCUAACUCCGCGCCAGCAGCCGCGGUAAUACGGGGGAUGCGAGCGUUAUCCGGAUUUAUUGGGUUUAAAGGGUGCGUAGGCGGCGCUUCAGGUCAGCGGUGAAAUACCGGGGCUCAACCCCGGGGCUGCCGUUGAAACCGGAGCGCUAGAAUUCCGAUGCCGUCGGAGGAAUGUGUGGUGUAGCGGUGAAAUGCAUAGAUAUCACGCAGAACGCCGAUUGCGAAGGCAGCUUACCGGCGCUCAACUGACGCUGAGGCACGAAAGUGCGGGUAUCGAACAGGAUUAGAUACCCGCGUAG
rnacentral:rRNA from 1 species